CUGGGGCAGGAUGAGCGCUCCUUUCCAAGAUGGCGGCGGAGGGAGGAGGGAAGGAGAUGAACGAGAUUAAGACCCAGUUCACCACCCGGGAGGGGCUGUACAAGCUGCUGAGCCACUCGGAGUACAGCCGGCCCAACCGCGUGCCCUUCAACUCGCAGGGCUCCAACCCCGUCCGCGUCUCCUUCGUCAACGUCAACGACCAGAGCGGCAACGGGGACCGGCUGUGCUUCAAUGUGGGCCGGGAGCUCUACUUCUACAUCUACAAGGGGGUCCGCAAGGCUGCGGACUUGAGUAAACCAAUAGACAAAAGGAUAUACAAAGGAACACAGCCCACAUGCCACGACUUCAAUCACUUAACAGCCACAGCAGAAAGUGUGUCUCUUCUAGUGGGCUUCUCUGCAGGCCAGGUCCAGCUUAUAGACCCUAUUAAAAAAGAAACUAGCAAAUUAUUUAACGAGGAAAGACUAAUAGACAAGUCCAGAGUAACCUGUGUAAAAUGGGUACCAGGUUCGGAAAGCCUUUUCCUAGUAGCUCAUUCCAGUGGCAAUAUGUACUUGUAUAACGUGGAGCACACUUGUGGUACCACAGCCCCGCACUACCAGCUACUUAAACAAGGAGAGAGUUUUGCAGUGCACACUUGCAAGAGUAAAUCCACAAGAAACCCUCUGCUUAAAUGGACAGUAGGUGAGGGUGCCCUGAAUGAAUUUGCCUUUUCCCCCGAUGGGAAGUUCUUGGCGUGCGUGAGCCAGGAUGGUUUUCUUCGCGUGUUUAACUUUGAUUCGGUGGAAUUGCAUGGUACAAUGAAAAGCUACUUUGGAGGACUGCUGUGUGUGUGUUGGAGUCCCGAUGGGAAGUACAUAGUGACAGGCGGAGAGGAUGACUUGGUGACAGUUUGGUCUUUCGUGGACUGUCGAGUCAUAGCGAGGGGCCACGGACACAAAUCGUGGGUCAGUGUCGUUGCGUUCGAUCCAUAUACCACUAGUGUAGAAGAGAGUGACCCGAUGGAAUUUAGCGGAAGUGAUGAGGAUUUCCAAGACCUCCAUUUUGGCAGAGAUCGAGCCAAUAGCACGCAAUCUAGACUAUCCAAAAGGAACUCUACAGACAGUCGCCCAGUAAGUGUUACAUAUAGAUUUGGUUCGGUAGGCCAGGACACACAGCUCUGUUUGUGGGAUCUUACAGAAGAUAUCCUCUUCCCCCACCAACCUCUCUCAAGAGCAAGGACACAUACAAAUGUCAUGAAUGCCACAAGUCCACCUGCAGGAAGUGGUGGAACUAACCCGGGAAGUAAUGGAAACAGUAUCACAACACCUGGAAACUCUGUACCCCCUCCUCUUCCACGAUCAAACAGCCUUCCACACUCUGCAGUCUCAAAUGCUGGCAGUAAAAGCAGUGUCAUGGAUGGUGCCAUUGCUUCUGGCGUUAGUAAAUUUGCAACCUUAUCGCUACACGAUCGGAAGGAAAGACACCAUGAAAAAGAUCACAAGAGAAACCAUAGCAUGGGACAUAUAUCUAGCAAGAGCAGUGACAAACUGAACCUAGUUACUAAAACCAAAACGGACCCAGCUAAAACUUUGGGAACACCUCUCUGUCCCCGAAUGGAAGAUGUUCCCUUGUUAGAGCCUCUUAUCUGUAAAAAGAUAGCACAUGAAAGACUGACUGUGUUAAUUUUUCUUGAAGACUGUAUAGUCACUGCUUGUCAGGAGGGAUUUAUUUGCACAUGGGCAAGGCCUGGUAAAGUGAGAUAAAGUAUGCAGUACCAAAAAUCAGGAUUUAUGUAUUGGCCAAUAUGGAAAACUUUAAUUACAGGGUUUAUUGUCAUCCCAAAACCAGGCCAAUUCUCCAAGUGGAACUGUAGUAUAGCCAUCACACUACUGCUAGCAAAUCUCUGAACGCAGGACAAGAAGUAAUGACAGUGGAACCAGGAGCUGUUCUUCAGGCAAAGAGCAUCACAAAUUUUAAUGUGGCAGAGUGUAAACAUGGAAUUAUGUGAAUCACAUAGUGACUUGCAAAGGACAAAUGCAAUGGGUUCUCACUACAGCCGAUCCUGGUAGGCUGCUCACCCAAGGAAGAGUUUGCAUUGGAGAAAAAGCAAAAAGCUUCCUUCGGUGCUGCAGGAAAAAGUAGUAACAUAUUUGGUUUUCUUUAUACUUUUCAAGUCCAGUGUAAUUUAAUCUCUCUAUAUAAAUAUAUAAAUAAAAGAUAUAUAUAUAUAGUGUAAAAUAAGAUAUGUUUCUUAAAUUCAAGUAAGUUCAAUGGUUAAACUAGUACUUCACCAUUGUUUAUUUUGCACUGAUUUUUUUAACCAGAGAUGGCUAGAAGACAGCCUGGAAUGCACUCAUGGAAAAUGAAAGUCAUUACUUUCUGGCUUCAAAAUGUUAUUCAGGAAGAUGGAUGCUGCAAUCAUAGAUUUUUUUAAAACAAAAUUGUUUUGCACUUAAAUAGUUUAAUGCUAAUAGAGAAUUACUUUAAAAUUGGUGUUCAGACACCAGAAAAACUAUGUUGUGGAGAAAAGAUCCUUUGUAUCUAUUAAACAUUUAUUUUAAUAUUGUUGUUUUCAACUGCAAUCGGCUCUGUAUUAUAUGUAUAAAUAAUGUAAUUCAGUGAUGGGGGAGGGGAGUAACGGAUCAUUACACUAGAGAUUCUCAUUCAUUUAAGAAAGUGAUAUUUCUAAUUCAGAAAAUACAUAUUAAACUAUCUUGAAUAUGCAUUUUUGUUUACUUUCUGUUCAAAUUCGAUCACUUUUGAUGUAACCAAUCCUUUGUUGAAUUAAAUGUUUGGUACAGAAAUACUAUCUAAACUUUGUAGAACAAAUUCCUUUCAAAAAUAUCUCAUCUAGAAUAUUACUUCUUAUUUAAUAGAGUUGAAUGUCACUUAGGAAAGUGAAAUACAAUUGUUCUGUUCUCAUUCCUAACAGCUGAUCUCACAUAAUGCACAUAGUGCAGUUUAAGCACAUCCUAACUCAAGUCUCACAGGCAGAGCUCCUUGAGGUAACCAUGUGGUCUCGUGUGUUUGAGUUGGGCAGUGGAAGAUCCCAGAGCAGUAGCCGUACACUCUUUCUGACUUGGCAGUCAGAAACUGGGUCAACAUACUGGAGUAUUCUGAGACUCUUGUGUUUUACAUCAGGCAUCUCAUUUAUAAUUCAACGCUCUUAAACUGAUACGUGUAACAGGGUCAGACAGAUCCCUGGAUUUGCAGAGGUUUGUCUGAACACUCCUCAUUUUUAACCAGUCAGCAACACAACGCUUAAAUUGUUUUCAGUAGUUCUUGCAAAGAUUAACUCCUCUUUCCCCCCAGAGAUUCUGCUCCAUGUCAAGCCCCAGAAAAUAGAAGUAUCUGUCACACCCUUCCCUUUCUGCUAUGUAGCAAUGAUCACAGUUGGGAUUUGUAGAAUCCUGCAGGCAGAGUGGAACAGAGGCUGCUCGCCUGGGACUGUGAACUCGCCCAAGGGUGCACGAGCUGUAUCUGAGGCACAUGUUACUGCCCUUCCUGCUCUCCACCAAUAAAGCCUGGU